rnacentral:rRNA from 1 species
CGCGUAGGCGGAUUAUCAAGUCUCUUGUGAAAUCUAAUGGCUUAACCAUUAAACUGCUUGGGAAACUGAUAGUCUAGAGUGAGGGAGAGGCAGAUGGAAUUGGUGGUGUAGGGGUAAAAUCCGUAGAUAUCACCAAGAAUACCCAUUGCGAAGGCGAUCUGCUGGAACUCAACUGACGCUAAGGCGCGAAAGCGUGGGGAGCAAACAGGAUUAGAUACCCUGGUAGUCCACGCCCUAAACGAUGUACACUAGUUGUUGGGAUGCUAGUCAUCUCAGUAAUGCAGCUAACGCAUUAAGUGUACCGCCUGGGGAGUACGGUCGCAAGAUUAAAACUCAAAGGAAUAGACGGGGACCCGCACAAGCGGUGGAGCAUGUGGUUUAAUUCGAAGAUACGCGAAGAACCUUACCUGGGCUUGAUAUCCUAAGAACCUUAUAGAGAUAUGAGGGUGCUAGCUUGCUAGAACUUAGAGACAGGUGCUGCACGGCUGUCGUCAGCUCGUGUCGUGAGAUGUUGGGUUAAGUCCCGCAACGAGCGCAACCCACGUAUUUAGUUGCUAACGGUUCGGCCGAGCACUCUAAAUAGACUGCCUUCGUAAGGAGGAGGAAGGUGUGGACGACGUCAAGUCAUCAUGGCCCUUAUGCCCAGGGCGACACACGUGCUACAAUGGCAUAUACAAUGAGACGCAAUACCGCGAGGUGGAGCAAAUCUAUAAAAUAUGUCCCAGUUCGGAUUGUUCUCUGCAACUCGAGAGCAUGAAGCCGGAAUCGCUAGUAAUCGUAGAUCAGCCAUGCUACGGUGAAUACGUUCCCGGGUCU